GGACCUUGCGCUAAUAGAUGAGCCUAAGUCGGAUUAGCUAGUUGGUGGGGUAAAGGCCUACCAAGGCGACGAUCUGUAGCGGGUCUGAGAGGAUGAUCCGCCACACUGGGACUGAGACACGGCCCAGACUCCUACGGGAGGCAGCAGUGGGGAAUAUUGGACAAUGGGGGGAACCCUGAUCCAGCCAUGCCGCGUGUGUGAAGAAGGCCUUAUGGUUGUAAAGCACUUUAAGCGAGGAGGAGGGUACUGGUAUUAAUACUACCAGNUACUGGACGUUACUCGCAGAAUAAGCACCGGCUAACUCUGUGCCAGCAGCCGCGGUAAUACAGAGGGUGCGAGCGUUAAUCGGAUUUACUGGGCGUAAAGCGUGCGUAGGCGGCUAAUUGAGUCGGAUGUGAAAUCCCCGAGCUUAACUUGGGAAUUGCAUUCGAUACUGGUUAGCUAGAGUGUGGGAGAGGAUGGUAGAAUUCCAGGUGUAGCGGUGAAAUGCGUAGAGAUCUGGAGGAAUACCGAUGGCGAAGGCAGCCAUCUGGCCUAACACUGACGCUGAGGUACGAAAGCAUGGGGAGCAAACAGGAUUAGAUACCCUGGUAGUCCAUGCCGUAAACGAUGUCUACUAGCCGUUGGUCUCUUUGAGGGAUUAGUGGCGCAGCUAACGCGAUAAGUAGACCGCCUGGGGAGUACGGUCGCAAGACUAAAACUCAAAUGAAUUGACGGGGGCCCGCACAAGCGGUGGAGCAUGUGGUUUAAUUCGAUGCAACGCGAAGAACCUUACCUGGUCUUGACAUAGUAAGAACUUUCCAGAGAUGGAUUGGUGCCUUCGGGAACUUACAUACAGGUGCUGCA
rnacentral:rRNA from 1 species